UUAAGCGACUAAGCGUACACGGUGGAUGCCCUGGCAGUCAGAGGCGAUGAAGGACGUGCUAAUCUGCGAAAAGCGUCGGUAAGGUGAUAUGAACCGUUAUAACCGGCGAUGUCCGAAUGGGGAAACCCAGUGCAAUUCGUUGCACUAUCGUUAACUGAAUACAUAGGUUAACGAGGCGAACCGGGGGAACUGAAACAUCUAAGUACCCCGAGGAAAAGAAAUCAACCGAGAUUCCCCCAGUAGCGGCGAGCGAACGGGGAGCAGCCCAGAGUCUGAAUCAGCUUGUGUGUUAGUGGAACGGUCUGGAAAGUCCGACGGUACAGGGUGAUAGUCCCGUACACCAAAAUGCACAGGCUGUGAACUCGAAGAGUAGGGCGGGACACGUGGUAUCCUGUCUGAAUAUGGGGGGACCAUCCUCCAAGGCUAAAUACUCCUGACUGACCGAUAGUGAACCAGUACCGUGAGGGAAAGGCGAAAAGAACCCCGGCGAGGGGAGUGAAAAAGAACCUGAAACCGUGUACGUACAAGCAGUGGGAGCACCUUCGGGUGUGACUGCGUACCUUUUGUAUAAUGGGUCAGCGACUUAUAUUCUGUAGCAAGGUUAACCGUAUAGGGGAGCCGCAGGGAAACCGAGUCUUAACUGGGCGUUAAGUUGCAGGGUAUAGACCCGAAACCCGGUGAUCUAGCCAUGGGCAGGUUGAAGGUUGGGUAACACUAACUGGAGGACCGAACCGACUAAUGUUGAAAAAUUAGCGGAUGACUUGUGGCUGGGGGUGAAAGGCCAAUCAAACCGGGAGAUAGCUGGUUCUCCCCGAAAGCUAUUUAGGUAGCGCCUCGUGAAUUCAUCUUCGGGGGUAGAGCACUGUUUCGGCUAGGGGGUCAUCCCGACUUACCAACCCGAUGCAAACUACGAAUACCGAAGAAUGUUAUCACGGGAGACACACGGCGGGUGCUAACGUCCGUCGUGAAGAGGGAAACAACCCAGACCGCCAGCUAAGGUCCCAAAGUCAUGGUUAAGUGGGAAACGAUGUGGGAAGGCACAGACAGCCAGGAUGUUGGCUUAGAAGCAGCCAUCAUUUAAAGAAAGCGUAAUAGCUCACUGGUCGAGUCGGCCUGCGCGGAAGAUGUAACGGGGCUAAACCAUGCACCGAAGCUGCGGCAGCGACACUAUGUGUUGUUGGGUAGGGGAGCGUUCUGUAAGCCUGCGAAGGUGACCUGUGAGGGUUGCUGGAGGUAUCAGAAGUGCGAAUGCUGACAUAAGUAACGAUAAAGCGGGUGAAAAGCCCGCUCGCCGGAAGACCAAGGGUUCCUGUCCAACGUUAAUCGGGGCAGGGUGAGUCGACCCCUAAGGCGAGGCCGAAAGGCGUAGUCGAUGGGAAACAGGUUAAUAUUCCUGUACUUGGUGUUACUGCGAAGGGGGGACGGAGAAGGCUAUGUUAGCCGGGCGACGGUUGUCCCGGUUUAAGCAUGUAGGCUGGUUAUCCAGGCAAAUCCGGAUAAUCAAGGCUGAGGUGUGAUGACGAGGCACUACGGUGCUGAAGUAACAAAUGCCCUGCUUCCAGGAAAAGCCUCUAAGCAUCAGGUAACAUUAAAUCGUACCCCAAACCGACACAGGUGGUCAGGUAGAGAAUACCAAGGCGCUUGAGAGAACUCGGGUGAAGGAACUAGGCAAAAUGGUGCCGUAACUUCGGGAGAAGGCACGCUGGUGUGUAGGUGAAGCCCCUGCGGGUGGAGCUGAGACCAGUCGAAGAUACCAGCUGGCUGCAACUGUUUAUUAAAAACACAGCACUGUGCAAACACGAAAGUGGACGUAUACGGUGUGACGCCUGCCCGGUGCCGGAAGGUUAAUUGAUGGGGUUAUCCGUAAGGAGAAGCUCUUGAUCGAAGCCCCGGUAAACGGCGGCCGUAACUAUAACGGUCCUAAGGUAGCGAAAUUCCUUGUCGGGUAAGUUCCGACCUGCACGAAUGGCGUAAUGAUGGCCAGGCUGUCUCCACCCGAGACUCAGUGAAAUUGAACUCGCUGUGAAGAUGCAGUGUACCCGCGGCAAGACGGAAAGACCCCGUGAACCUUUACUAUAGCUUGACACUGAACAUUGAGCCUUGAUGUGUAGGAUAGGUGGGAGGCUUUGAAGCGUGGACGCCAGUCUGCGUGGAGCCAACCUUGAAAUACCACCCUUUAAUGUUUGAUGUUCUAACGUUGGCCCCUGACCGGGGUUGCGGACAGUGUCUGGUGGGUAGUUUGACUGGGGCGGUCUCCUCCCAAAGCGUAACGGAGGAGCACGAAGGUUAGCUAAUCCUGGUCGGACAUCAGGAGGUUAGUGCAAUGGCAUAAGCUAGCUUGACUGCGAGCGUGACGGCGCGAGCAGGUGCGAAAGCAGGUCAUAGUGAUCCGGUGGUUCUGAAUGGAAGGGCCAUCGCUCAACGGAUAAAAGGUACUCCGGGGAUAACAGGCUGAUACCGCCCAAGAGUUCAUAUCGACGGCGGUGUUUGGCACCUCGAUGUCGGCUCAUCACAUCCUGGGGCUGAAGUAGGUCCCAAGGGUAUGGCUGUUCGCCAUUUAAAGUGGUACGCGAGCUGGGUUUAGAACGUCGUGAGACAGUUCGGUCCCUAUCUGCCGUGGGCGCUGGAGAAUUGAGGGGGGCUGCUCCUAGUACGAGAGGACCGGAGUGGACGCAUCACUGGUGUUCGGGUUGUCAUGCCAAUGGCACUGCCCGGUAGCUAAAUGCGGAAGAGAUAAGUGCUGAAAGCAUCUAAGCACGAAACUUGCCCCGAGAUGAGUUCUCCCUGAGACUUUAAGUCUCCUGAAGGAACGUUAAAGACGAUGACGUUGAUAGGCCGGGUGUGUAAGCGCAGCGAUGCGUUGAGCUAACCGGUACUAAUGAACCGUGAGGCUUAACCUU
rnacentral:rRNA from 1 species